rnacentral:rRNA from 1 species
UACGUAGGUGGCAAGCGUUGUCCGGAUUUAUUGGGUUUAAAGGGUGCGUAGGCGGCUUUGUAAGUCAGUGGUGAAAUAUGGCAGCUUAACUGUCAGGGUGCCAUUGAUACUGCGGAGCUUGAGUACAGAUGAGGUAGGCGGAAUUGACGGUGUAGCGGUGAAAUGCUUAGAUAUCGUCAAGAACACCUAUAGCGAAGGCAGCUUACUAGGCUGUAACUGACGCUGAGGCACAAAAGUGUGGGGAUCAAACAGG